rnacentral:rRNA from 1 species
CAGCAGCCGCGGUAAUACGUAGGGGGCAAGCGUUAUCCGGAUUUACUGGGUGUAAAGGGGGCGCAGACGGCGAUGCAAGUCUGAAGUGAAAUCCCACGGCUCAACUGUGGAAUUGCUUUGGAAACUGUAUUGCUUGAGUGCUGGAGAGGUAAGCGGAAUUCCUGGUGUAGCGGUGAAAUGCGUAGAUAUCAGGAAGAACAUCAGUGGCGAAGGCGGCUUACUGGACAGCAACUGACGUUGAGGCUCGAAGGCGUGGGGAGCAAACAGGAUUAGAUACCCUGGUAGUCCACGCGGUAAACGAUGAAUACUAGGUGUUGGGAGACAUAGUCUUUCAGUGCCGUCGCUAACGCAGUAAGUAUUCCACCUGGGGAGUACGUUCGCAAGAAUGAAACUCAAAGAAAUUGACGG